GGGCAGCAGAGAAUUACGUUAAAGAGAUGUGAUGUUCACAGUAGAACAGAGAAAUAUGAUAGUCAAUGAAAAACUACACACAAAUAUGGAUGACAAACGGCCAAUGUGCAAAAGAAGACAAAUUGUGCAAAUGAAAAGAAAUGCUGUCAGUAAAUAAGCAAUCCUGAAAACAUGCGUCCAUAGGUUGUGGAAUCAGUUCAGAACUGAGGCAUUCACCAUGGAACAAAGAAAUACAAUACAAUAGAAUCAAAAACCACGCACAAGGACUGACAAGCAACCAAUGUGCAAAAGAAGACAACCUGUGUAAAUACAAAAUAAGUAAAGAAAUUAAAAAAGGGGAAAGGGAGAGGUCACGUUCAAGUUCAUGCUGUGAAGUUUGCACCGGGGGAGGCAGUACAGAC